GCCAGGAUUUGGUUGCCACGUAAAGAUAAUCCUCAUUCUGCACAAAACAUCUUUUGAGCCAUCAUUAAAUAACGGAUCGAUGAAGUGCUUCGAAUCUUCAGCUCAGCAAGGAGAAGAAAAAGCAUAGGUGCAGC